rnacentral:tRNA from 1 species
AGAGAAGGUGGCUGAGAGGUUGAAAGCGGUAGACUGUAAAUCUACUAUUUGAUACGUAAAUUUCAUAGGUUCGAAUCCUAUUCUUCUCUU